AACGCGAAGAACCUUACCUACUCUUGACAUCCAGAGAACUUAGCAGAGAUGCUUUGGUGCCUUCGGGAACUCUGAGACAGGUGCUGCAUGGCUGUCGUCAGCUCGUGUUGUGAAAUGUUGGGUUAAGUCCCGCAACGAGCGCAACCCUUAUCCUUUGUUGCCGGCGAUUCGGUCGGGAACUCAAAGGAGACUGCCAGUGAUAAACUGGAGGAAGGUGGGGAUGACGUCAAGUCAUCAUGGCCCUUACGAGUAGGGCUACACACGUGCUACAAUGGCAUAUACAAAGAGAAGCGACCUCGCGAGAGCAAGCGGACCUCAUAAAGUAUGUCGUAGUCCGGAUUGGAGUCUGCAACUCGACUCCAUGAAGUCGGAAUCGCUAGUAAUCGUAGAUCAGAAUGCUACGGUGAAUACGUUCCCGGGUCUUGUACACACCG
rnacentral:rRNA from 1 species